rnacentral:rRNA from 1 species
GACGGAGGAUGCAAGCGUUAUCCGGAUUGAUUGGGCGUAAAGCGUCCGCAGGUGGCAGUUCAAGUCUGCUGUCAAAGACCGGGGCUUAACUUCGGAAAGGCAGUGGAAACUGAACAGCUAGAGUAUGGUAGGGGCAGAGGGAAUUCCUGGUGUAGCGGUGAAAUGCGUAGAGAUCAGGAAGAACAUCGGUGGCGAAGGCGCUCUGCUGGACCAUAACUGACACUCAGGGACGAAAGCUAGGGGAGCGAAUGGG